rnacentral:rRNA from 1 species
AGCGAACAUUGGCGGUAGGCUUAACACAUGCAAGUCGAGCGAGGCGUAAUAGUCGAGCGGCGAACGGGUGCGUAAUACAUGGGAAUCUACCCUGAAGUGGGGGAUAACGUCCAGAAAUGGACGCUAAUACCGCAUAAUCCACAUUGGGAAAGCGUUGCAGCGCUUUAGGAUGAGCCCGUGGCUGAUUAGCUAGUUGGUGAGGUAAUGGCUCACCAAGGCGACGAUCAGUAGCUGGUCUGAGAGGAUGACCAGCCACACUGGACCUGAGACACGGUCCAGACUCCUACGGGAGGCAGCAGUGGGGAAUCUUGCGCAAUGGGGGCAACCCUGACGCAGCCAUACCGCGUGAGUGAUGAAGGUCUUCGGAUUGUAAAGCUCUUUCGGCGGGGACGACGAUGACGGUACCCGCAAAAGAAGUCACGGCUAACUUCGUGCCAGCAGCCGCGGUAA